rnacentral:tRNA from 6 species
GCCCUUGUAGUUCAACGGAUAGAAUAGAAGUUUCCUAAACUUUAGAUAGGGGUUCGAUUCCCCUCGGGGGUA